UACGUAGGGGGCAAGCGUUAUCCGGAAUUAUUGGCGUAGAGGGUGCGUAGGCGGUUUCUUAAGCGCGGGGUGAAAGGCAGUGGCUUAACCAUUGUUAGCCUUGCGAACUGGGAAACUUGAGUGCUGGAGAGGAAAGUGGAAUUCCUAGUGUAGCGGUGGAAUGCGUAGAUAUUAGGAGGAACACCAGUGGCGAAGGCGACUUUCUGGACAGUAACUGACGCUGAGGCACGAAAGUGUGGGGAGCAAACAG
rnacentral:rRNA from 1 species